GGAGGGGUUCCCGAGUGGCCAAAGGGAGCAGACUNNGUUCGAAUCCGUCCCCCUCCACCA
rnacentral:tRNA from 1 species